GCAUAUCAAUAAGCGGAGGAAAAGAAACCAACAGGGAUUGCCUCAGUAACUGCGAGUGAAGCGGCAAAAGCUCAAAUUUGAAAUCUGGCGCCUUCGGCGUCCGAGUUGUAAUUUGGAGGGGCAUCUUCGGGUUUGGCGCCGUCCUAAGUUCCUUGGAACAGGACGUCACAGAGGGUGAGAAUCCCGUGCCUGGGCGGCAGUCCAAAUCCAUGUGAAGUGUCUCCGACGAGUCGAGUUGUUUGGGAAUGCAGCUCAAAAUGGGUGGUAAAUUUCAUCUAAAGCUAAAUAUUGGCGAGAGACCGAUAGCGCACAAGUAGAGUGAUCGAAAGAUGAAAAGCACUUUGAAAAGAGAGUUAAAAAGUACGUGAAAUUGUUGAAAGGGAAGCGCUUGCGACCAGACUCGGUCUUUGGGGGUCAUCCGGGUUUCGGCUCGGUGCCAUCCCCAUUGAUCGGGCCAGCAUCGGUUCCGGCGGCGGGAUAAAAGGCGAGGGAAUGUGGCUCUCUUCGGGGAGUGUUAUAGCCCUCGUCACAAUGCCGCCAGCUGGGACCGAGGACCGCGCUUCGGCUAGGAUGCUGGCGUAAUGGUCUUAAGCGACCCGUCUUGAAACACGGACCAAGGAGUCUAACAUCUAUGCGAGUGUUCGGGUGGAAAACCCUUGCGCGUAAUGAAAGUGAACGGAGGUGGGAACCCUUAGGGGUGCACCAUCGACCGGUCCUGAUGUCUUCGGAAGGAUCUGAGUAAGAGCAUAGCUGUUGGGACCCGAAAGAUGGUGAACUAUGCCUGAAUAGGGUGAAGCCAGAGGAAACUCUGGUGGAGGCUCGCAGCGGUUCUGACGUGCAAAUCGAUCGUCAAAUUUGGGUAUAGGGGCGAAAGACUAAUCGAACCAUCUAGUAGCUGGUUCCUGCCGAA
rnacentral:rRNA from 1 species